rnacentral:misc_RNA from 1 species
UUUUUAAUUUUAGUAUUUAUUUUAAUUUUAAAUUUUAAUAAUUGUAAUAUUGAAUUUUAGUUUUGAAUUUGGUGAUGAUUUUAAUUUUGGGUUUGAUGGAAUUUUAGUACAUUCAUUUUGAUUUUGGUGUGAUUUUGAUUCGGUAUAAUUUGUUUUGUCACAAUUGUUUAAACUAACAUAGUUUCGGAAAAACAUGUAACUAACAAAUAUAUGGACAUAUGUCUGAAUUAAAUUAUUAUUAUUAUAUUUACAUGUCUUCGAUCCAGAGAAUAACGACAAUGGUGCUGAAGGCUGGUGUCGGAGCAUAGAAAAACCUGGUGUUGAAUUCAAGUGUACCAGCAUCCACUAAGCUGCCACAGCAGGUGCCGAGGAACUAGUCGAGGUUUAACGAAGUUCUCUCACGGACUACGGAGAUAUCCCUAGUUUAGUACCAAAAUAAGGUAACCAGAAUCUGAUGAUGGAAUCUCAGAGAAAUCGAGGGAAACUCAAAAGUCCACAUAACUUUUUACUGGGUGUACCGAUUUUGAUAAUUAUUAAUUUAAUCGAAAG